rnacentral:rRNA from 1 species
UACGAAGGGGGCUAGCGUUGCUCGGAAUCACUGGGCGUAAAGGGUGCGUAGGCGGGUCUUUAGGUCAGGGGUGAAAUCCUGGAGCUCAACUCCAGAACUGCCUUUGAUACUGAAGAUCUUGAGUUCGGGAGAGGUGAGUGGAACUGCGAGUGUAGAGGUGAAAUUCGUAGAUAUUCGCAAGAACACCAGUGGCGAAGGCGGCUCACUGGCCCGAUACUGACGCUGAGGCACGAAAGCUAGGGGAGCAAACAGG